CCCCGGAAAGAUAAUACGGAACACUGAUGACAAACAGGUGGUUCCGUUAAUAAAUAGGUUCCCCAGAAUGAUAAUACGGAACACUGAUGACAAACAGGUGGUUUCUCUAAUAAAUAGGUUCCCCGGAAUGAUAGUACGGAACACUGAUGACAAACAGGUGGUUCCGUUAAUAAAUAGGUCCCCUGGAAUGAUAAUACGGAACACUGAUGACAAACAGGUGGUUCCGUUAAUUAAUAGGUCCCCCGAAAUGAUAAUACGGAACACUGAUGACAAACAGGUGGUUCCGUUAAUAAAUAGGUCCCGCGGAAUGAUAAUACGGA
rnacentral:lncRNA from 1 species